rnacentral:rRNA from 1 species
AGCGAACGCUGGCGGCAGGCCUAACACAUGCAAGUCGAACGAACCUUUCGGGGUUAGUGGCGGACUGGUGAGUAACACGUGGGAACGUGCCUUUAGGUUCGGAAUAACUCAGGGAAACUUGUGCUAAUACCGAAUGUGCCCUUCGGGGGAAAGAUUAAUCGCCUUUAGAGCGGCCCGCGUCUGAUUAGCUAGUUGGUUGAGGUAAUGGCUCACCAAGGCGACGAUCAGUAGCUGGUCUGAGAGGAUGAUCAGCCACAUUGGGACUGAGACACGGCCCAAACUCCUACGGGAAGCAGCAGUGGGGAAUCUUGCGCAAUGGGCGAAAGCCUGACGCAGCCAUGCCGCGUGAAUGAUGAAGGUCUUAGGAUUGUAAAAUUCUUUCACCGGGGACGAUAAUGACGGUACCCGGAGAAGAAGCCCCGGCUAACUUCGUG